rnacentral:rRNA from 1 species
GUAGCAAUACCCAGUGGCGAACGGGUGCGUAACACGUGAGGAACAUGCCCUUCGGCGGGGGAUAGCCGGCCCAACGGCCGGGUAAUACCGCGUACGACCUUCGGGUGGCAUCACCUGGGGGUGAAAGCAGCAAUGCGCCGAUGGAGUGCCUCGCGGCCUAUCAGCUAGUUGGUGAGGUAACGGCUCACCAAGGCGACGACGGGUAGCUGGUCUGAGAGGAUGAUCAGCCACAUUGGGACUGAGACACGGCCCAGACUCCUACGGGAGGCAGCAGUGGGGAAUAUUGGACAAUGGGCGAAAGCCUGACGCAGCGACGCCGCGUGAGUGAUGAAGGCCUUCGGG